ensembl:misc_RNA
UUUUGCUCUUCACUGUAUCUUCAUGGUCUAGUAGAUCACAUGAUUCAUCACAGGUCUUGAAAUACAUG